rnacentral:rRNA from 1 species
CCUACGGGAGGCAGCAGUAAGGAAUAUUGGUCAAUGGGCGCAAGCCUGAACCAGCCAUGCCGCGUGCAGGAAGACGGCCCUAUGGGUUGUAAACUGCUUUUGAACAAGAGAAAACCUCGGUACGUGUACCGAGCUGAUAGUAUUGUUAGAAUAAGCAUCGGCUAACUUCGUGCCAGCAGCCGCGGUAAGACGAAGGAUGCAAGCGUUAUCCGGAUUCAUUGGGUUUAAAGGGUGCGUAGGCGGCCUGAUAAGUCAGUGGUGAAAUCUCUCAGCUUAACUGAGAAACUGCCAUUGAUACUGUCGGGCUUGAGUACAGAUGAUGUGGGCGGAAUAUGACAUGUAGUGGUGAAAUACUUAGAUAUGUCAUAGAACACCGAUUGCGAAGGCAGCUCACAAAACUGUAACUGACGCUGAGGCACGAAAGUGCGGGGAUCAAACAGGAUUAGAUACCCUGGUAGUCCGCACCGUAAACGAUGAUUACUCGUUGUUGGCAAUAUGACCGUCAGCGACCACGACGAAGACGAGUAAGUAAGUACCACCCGUACGGGGUAGGUACGGUCCCGGCCGAACCGGUACGGUAAACCGUAACGAAACGUAGUAAGUUAGGUUACGGGACGUUAGGAGGACGUUACGGACCGACGGACGACCGACGACGGGAGGGUAGGGAG